rnacentral:rRNA from 1 species
GACGGGGACCCGCACAAGCGGUGGAGCAUGUGGUUUAAUUCGAAGCAACGCGAAGAACCUUACCAAAUCUUGACAUCCUCUGACCCCUCUAGAGAUAGAGUUUUCCCCUUCGGGGGACAGAGUGACAGGUGGUGCAUGGUUGUCGUCAGCUCGUGUCGUGAGAUGUUGGGUUAAGUCCCGCAACGAGCGCAACCCUUAAGCUUAGUUGCCAUCAUUAAGUUGGGCACUCUAAGUUGACUGCCGGUGACAAACCGGAGGAAGGUGGGGAUGACGUCAAAUCAUCAUGCCCCUUAUGAUUUGGGCUACACACGUGCUACAAUGGACAAUACAAAGGGUGGCGAAACCGCGAGGUCAAG